rnacentral:tmRNA from 1 species
GACCUUUUCAAGAACGCAGGAGUGCUUAUACUCUAAUGCGUCGGCUUGCCGACUAUGGCGAUAAAUGGCUCGUGGAAUAAGCGUUGCGGACCCGGGGGCAGUACCCGGCGCCUCCACCAACUCCCAAGUGGGAUUCAGGGGGCGAAACAGGAUCGACGUGCGUGGUAAAGGCGUGACUUUCGCUCGGCAUGGCACCACCGUUAUCGGGCCAUAACGUAGUUGCGAACGACAACUAUGCGGAGGCACGCCUCGCCGCGUAAUGCGGUCUGGUAGCCUACAUUAAGCCCAUGGGGUUCGCACCCCAUGGCGGGGUUUGGGGCGCAC